AUUUUUAAAAAUUAACGAUAAUUGUUCGGAGUCCUAGGAAUGCCAAUGCCCACCUAGGCUUAGCUAGCAAAGUAGCAACAUACCCUCAUCACUGAUAUUAAUUGCAGUACUACUUAGUGCCAUAAUUGUCCAAGUCCUUGUUAGUUUUGAGAAACGUGUGUUUCUGAUUUUGUUAAAUCUCUUGUUUAGUUAACGAGAAAGCUAUUGCUUUAAUUUCUUUUGCAGCUAGAAGUGAAUGCAUACAAUAUGAUAUAAAAUAUCGAGCAACUUGUUUAGAGUCAGUCACAAUCUAUUAACGAUAAUUGUUAAUUAUUAUUACUAUUCAAAA
rnacentral:lncRNA from 1 species